AUUGAACGCUGGCGGCAUGCCUUACACAUGCAAGUCGAACGGCAGCGGGGGAGAAGCUUGCUUUUCCUGCCGGCGAGUGGCGAACGGGUGAGUAAUACAUCGGAACGUGCCCUGUAGUGGGGGAUAACUAGUCGAAAGAUUAGCUAAUACCGCAUACGACCUGAGGGUGAAAGUGGGGGACAGCAAGGCCUCAUGCUAUAGGAGCGGCCGAUGUCUGAUUAGCUAGUUGGUGGGGUAAAGGCCUACCAAGGCGACGAUCAGUAGCUGGUCUGAGGGGACGAGCAUCCAAACGGGGACUGAGACACGGCCCAGGCUCCUACGGGAGGCAGCAGUGGGGAAUUUUGGACAAUGGGCGAAAGCCUGAUCUAGCAAUGCCGCGUGUGUGAAGAAGGCCUUCGGGUUGUAAAGCACUUUUGUCCGGAAAGAAAUGGCUCUGGUUAAUACCUGGGGUCGAUGACGGUACCGGAAGAAUAAGGACCGGCUAACUAUGUGCCAGCAGCCGCCGUAA
rnacentral:rRNA from 1 species